CCAGACAUCUGUGAAAGUAGUGUAACAACAAAAGAAGAAGGCGGCAAAGGAAAGGUAAUCAUUAAGAAAGAGAAUAAGGAAGUGGCAACGCCGAUAGAAAAACAGACUUCGUUCCAAAAGGAACACGACAAAUUUAUGAGCGAUAUAGUAUUUGAGGAGAUGUGCCUUGUGGAAGGGGAGCUUCCGGACAAACUAGCGAGGAAUGGGACAACAGAAGGCGAGAUUAGCACGAAUGGGGAGAACACGGAGGAGGAGGUUUCCAGCAAGAUUAGAGGGUGAAAAACAACAUCAAGGA